GUACACCUGGCAGGGGAGACACCCUUAUCAAGAAUUUCAGUCUUUCACGGUGAAGCUUCUCCGUCGCAUUGCAUACUUGCAUAUCCCGCGAUUUCCUCCAUGCGGGAAACUGUACUGCCGUAUUUGUGCUAGCAGAGGGCUGAACUCGUGCUCUCCCCUA
rnacentral:snRNA from 1 species